ensembl:lncRNA
UGACUACAGCUUUAUUAGAAAAGGCAGUUGAGUAAAAUAAUAACUUAAUAAUCGGAAGUGGUUUGAACAAUAUUACAGUUUCUCCCCCUUGUAUGGCCCAACUGCUCAACCACAGCCACUGCUUACAAAGACCAACAGUGAAACCGUAAUGCAAAGAUGCAAAAUCUCAUUUAAAUGGUCAUGCUUGAAAAACCUUGUCACUGCUAUUUUAGUUCAAAACAAAGGGCUCUCUCUGUGUUAUUUUGAAAGGCCAGAUUUCAGCAAGGACAGAUAAAAAUUAUUCAGAAUUGUGAUCCUCUGGCCCAUCAACGCUGAGGAUGGAGACGAGGCUUUGUGACAGUGACAGAAAUAAAUAACAGAUCUCCAAGAGGUUUUGACGUAAGAUUUCAGGAGGUAGCACUUUAUGCCCAGAAGAAUUGCACUCAGUAUAUACCAUCUCACGCCUGAUUGACCUGAAGAAUAUCUUGUCAAGGUAGGGAGAAAACCAGUACUAAGCUGGCAUUUAACUGGCACAGGGAUUAAUGCCCAUAUUUCUAGCAGGAGUGCCAGACUAUCCUAAGUGCAUGCAAAGGCUAGCAAGCUAUCUUGAGGCUAAAUAAUAACAAUAAUAUCAACAAUAAUAAUUAUCAUAAUAAUAAUCCCACCAGCAGCUGCACGUCAGACCAAGUGGCCAAAUGUUUUGAAAAAUCAAUUGAGAUUUUGUAGGUGGGGGCGGAACGCAUCAGUGCAUCAACAACCCUGUCCACAGCCAUACAUUGCAACUGGGUGAUCAUUAAGCUCCCUUCCAACCUACACCAUUCUAUGAUUCUACGGUCUAUAAGGUCCCUUCCAAUCCAAUUCAUUCUAUGAUUCUCUGAUUCUAACUCCUCAGCAUGCCAUGCUCAGCCCAGUGCUGCGUGCGGUUUCUUGCUGGGAGCUGGGCGUUCCGCUUUCAGCCUGCACAGUUGGUUCUUGCACUUGUGAACUUGAGGAUCCGAUUACAGGAUGAAACCGGGCUUUGAACUUCUUGUGGUAUUUUCCAGCUGGGGCCUCAGCAAACCACAUCGAUGUCUUCUGAAACUGAGUGUUUUGUGAUGGAGAUAAAUAUAAUCCUGGCUUUACAGCUGGGAUGGUGAGCAGAGAGUGGAGGGCUUUUGCAUAGGGCUGAGUCACCUGGAGUCUGAUUUGAAUAAAUGAGAUGAAACCAGCCAGAUGUGCAGGCUGCUGUGUGUAGCAGGUGUGACCCAAAUCCAGUCUGUGCCUUUGCCAUGCAUCUUCUCCUCUGGUAUUAUCUCCCUACCAUUGGUCCCUGAUAUGCAUAAAAUCAAACAGUAAGUCCUUUUGGGGAAAAGAUUGUAUACAUCUUUUUCUUGCUUAGGGAAAGGUGCCAGCAUGGUCUUAGUGCUGUGUACACGGACAAGAACAAAUGCAAGCAUAACAUUUUCUGCAAGCUUUGCUCUGUUUUUCUGUAUGGAAUGAAGAAUUUACCAUAAAUUGUGAAAAAUCUCCCCAUUAGCAGCAUUUCAUUGAUUGCCAAAGAGAAACUUCAGAUUCAUACAUCUUUUAGGCAGUCAUCGCUACUUUCUCCAAACCUGUUCAAAGUCCAUGAGACAUCCUUAGAGCCCAUCCACUGCUUGGAUGUCCUUUUGCAUCAAGUCUUACUGGGGCUCUGGAAUCAUAACUUCUCAUGGUUCUCUGCUGUUAUGCCUGUGGACAUUUCCUUUACACUGCUGCUGUCUCC